UACAGUCGGAACCCGCUCGUUGAGCCACAACCUCUACCCAACCAACGAAUUCGAUUCGCUAGUUGGGUGAAGUGACAGCAGCACAAGGGGCGUGCGCAUUGUUUUUUUUUAAAUCAUGUUUAGGUUGGAAGCAAAAAGGAAAAUUUUUCAAUUUGUUUUACAUUUAGAGCAAAACUGAUACGUUUUGCAAGAUACAUAUAUGGCCAAUGCGAGAAAUAAUUAUUUUCACCCAUUUUUAGUCGGUGAAGUGAAAAUAUAGAUGUUUAUGAAACCACCCGGACCGAAAGCAAGCACAAAACGCUUUCAAUGAUCGACAAAAUAAAGAUUGCCGAUGUUUUGCAUUUGUCUCGAAGUAA